UACGUAGGGUGCGAGCGUUGCUCGGAAUCACUGGGCGUAAAGGGCGCGUAGGCGGGAUGGCAAGUCGGUCGUGAAAGCCUUCGGCUCAACCGAAGAACGUCGGCCGAUACUGCCGUUCUUGAGGGAUGCAGAGGAGACUGGAAUUCCCGGUGUAGCGGUGAAAUGUGUAGAGAUCGGGAGGAACACCGGUGGCGAAGGCGGGUCUCUGGGCAUCUCCUGACGCUGAGGCGCGAAAGCGUGGGGAGCAAACGGG
rnacentral:rRNA from 1 species